UACAGGGGGUGCAAACGUUGCUCGGAAUCAUUGGGCGUAAAGCGCACGUAGGCGGUUCGUUAUGUCGGAUGUGAAAGCCCUUGGCUUAACCGAGGAAGUGCAUCCGAAACUGGCGAGCUAGAGUACUAAAGAGGAUCGCGGAAUUCCCGGUGUAGAGGUGAAAUUCGUAGAUAUCGGGAGGAACACCGGUGGCGAAGGCGGCGAUCUGGGUAGAUACUGACGCUGAGGUACGAAAGCGUGGGGAGCAAACAGG
rnacentral:rRNA from 1 species